CAAUAGCGUAUAUUAAAGUUGUUGCAGUUAAAAAGCUCGUAGUCGGAUUUUGGCAUCACGCCGAACUGUCUGCCGAUUGGUAAGCACGGUUUGGCGGUUGCUUCCUUCCGGAGGCUCGUUUCCUUCUUAACUGAAGGGUUCGUAGGUUCCGGUUCUUUUACUUUGAGAAAAUUAGAGUGUUCAAAGCAGGCCUAUGCUCCGAAUAGGUUAGCAUGGAAUAAUGGAAUAGGACGUUGGUUCUAUUUUGUUGGUUUCUAGGACCGAAGUAAUGAUUAAUAGGGACAGUUGGGGGCAUUCAUAUUCCAUUGUCAGAGGUGAAAUUCUUGGAUUAACGGAAGAUGAACUUCUGCGAAAGCAUCUGCCAAGGAUGUUUUCAUUG
rnacentral:rRNA from 1 species